rnacentral:rRNA from 1 species
CAGCAGCAGCCGCGGGAACACGUAGGGUGCGAGCGUUAAUCGGAAUUACUGGGCGUAAAGCGUGCGCAGGCGGUUCGUUAAGACAGAUGUGAAAUCCCCGGGCUUAACCUGGGAACUGCAUUUGUGACUGGCGAGCUAGAGUAUGGCAGAGGGGGGUAGAAUUCCACGUGUAGCAGUGAAAUGCGUAGAGAUGUGGAGGAAUACCGAUGGCGAAGGCAGCCCCCUGGGCCAAUACUGACGCUCAUGCACGAAAGCGUGGGGAGCAAACAGGAUUAGAUACCCGGGUAGUCCCUGUCUCUUAUAC